UCACCUUUAUAACCUUGCCUUAUCUACCAGAACACAGAUCCCUCUUACUAAAGAUUAGAUCCUGUGCUGAAAGAGAAACCAAGAAAAAAGAUGACAUUCCAGAAGAAGACAAAGGAAAUGUAAAACAAUGUGAAAUCAAUUAUGU